rnacentral:lncRNA from 1 species
GGAAGAGGAGAAGAGAGAAAGAUCUGUGUGUUUUCCACUUGCAACCCCAAAGAAAUCACAGGAUCUAGCUUUAUUUUGAGGACUCUUUUGCUGAUAUGUCUGGUUCCGUUAAGUACUGAAAGGAUGCAAUGAGGUCUCCUUGGAGCCUUCUCUUCUCCAGGCUGAGCAAGCCCAGCUCCCUCAACCCUUCUCGGUGGGAGAGGUGUUCCAGUCCUCUGAGCAUCCUCAUUGCCUCCUCUGGACCCGCUCUAACAGGUUCACGUCUUCCUUGUGCAAGGCUCCCCAGGCCUGGAUGUAAUACCACAUUACACUUCUGGGGAGGACAUGGAGACCCAACAUUGCUUGGGCAUAUGCUCAUAAUUUGGUUUCAUCUGCAAAUGUAAGCAAAAUCAUUCCAGUGCAAGGUGUUAAAUGGAAAUAUUGAAUACCUUUGGCUCACACAGACUCCUUCCAAAUCAC